UCAUUCCUGCGGCUCAGUUGGUAGAGUAUUGUGCUUACAACGCAAAGGUCGUGGGUUCUAAUAUCAGGGAUUAAA